UACGAAGGGGGCUAGCGUUGCUCGGAAUCACUGGGCGUAAAGCGCACGUAGGCGGGCUCUUAAGUCGGUGGUGAAAUCCUGGAGCUCAACUCCAGAACUGCCUUCGAUACUGGGAGUCUCGAGUUCGGGAGAGGUGAGUGGAACUGCGAGUGUAGAGGUGAAAUUCGUAGAUAUUCGCAAGAACACCAGUGGCGAAGGCGGCUCACUGGCCCGGUACUGACGCUGAGGUGCGAAAGCGUGGGGAGCAAACAGG
rnacentral:rRNA from 1 species